CCCUUAGAUGUCCUGGGCUGCACGCGCGCUACACUGAUGUGUCCAGUAAGCACCUAACCUCUUCCGAAAGGAACGGGUAACCUUUGCAAAGCACAUCGUGAUGGGGAUAGAUUAUUGCAAUUAUUAGUCUUGAACGAGGAAUUCCUAGUAAGCACAAGUCAUCAGCUUGUGUUGAUUACGUCCCUGCCCUUUGUACACACCGCCCGUCGCUCCUACCGAUUGAAUGUUCCGGUGAGCUCUUCGGACUGCGCGGUCUGCAGUUUCUGCGUUCCGUGCGGAAAGUUGCGCAACCCUUAACAUUUAGAGGAAGGAGAAGUCGUAACA
rnacentral:rRNA from 1 species